AUUGAACGCUGGCGGCAUGCCUUACACAUGCAAGUCGAACGGCAGCACGGGAGCAAUCCUGGUGGCGAGUGGCGAACGGGUGAGUAAUAUAUCGGAACGUGCCCAGUCGUGGGGAUAACGUAGCGAAAGCUACGCUAAUACCGCAUACGAUCUAUGGAUGAAAGCGGGGGAUCGCAAGACCUCGCGCGAUUGGAGCGGCCGAUAUCAGAUUAGGUAGUUGGUGAGGUAAAGGCUCACCAAGCCGACGAUCUGUAGCUGGUCUGAGAGGACGACCAGCCACACUGGGACUGAGACACGGCCCAGACUCCUACGGGAGGCAGCAGUGGGAAUUUUGGACAAUGGGCGCAAGCCUGAUCCAGCAAUGCCGCGUGCAGGAU
rnacentral:rRNA from 1 species